rnacentral:rRNA from 1 species
UAUAUCGGAACGUACCCUGGAGUGGGGGAUAACGUAGCGAAAGUUACGCUAAUACCGCAUACGAUCUAAGGAUGAAAGCAGGGGAUUCGCAAGAACCUUGUGCUCCUGGAGCGGCCGAUAUCUGAUUAGCUAGUUGGUGGGGUAAAGGCCUACCAAGGCAUCGAUCAGUAGCUGGUCUGAGAGGACGACCAGCCACACUGGGACUGAGACACGGCCCAG